rnacentral:lncRNA from 1 species
AGGCGUGGCGGCGCGCGCCUGCAACAGCAGGCACUGGGCGGGCUGAGGCAGGAGAAUCAGGCAGGGAGGCUGCAGUGAGCCGAGAUGGCAGCAGUACAGUCCAGCUUCGGCUCGGCAUCAGAGGGAGACCCUGGAAAGAGAGGGAGAGGGAGACCGUGGGGAGAGGGGGAGGGGGAGGGGGAGGGAGAGGGAGAGGGAGAGCACCGGGUGCAAAGUUUUAAUGUUCAGGAAAGAUUAGCCUUGUUCUUUUUUUUUUGAGAUGGAGUCUCACUCUGUCACCCAGGCUAGAGUGCAAUGUCGUGAUCUUGUGUCUGGAAUUGGUGGGUUCUUGGUCUCACUGACUUCAAGAAUGAAGCCGCGGACCCUCACAGUGAGUGUUACACUUCUUAAAGGCGGCGUGUCCAGAGUUUGUUCUUUCUGAUGGUCGGAUGUGUUCGGAGUUUCUUCCUUCUGGUGGGUUCAUGGUCUCGUCUCGCUGGCUGCAGGAGUGAAGCUGCAGACCUUCACGAUGGGAAAAUUGAGAUUCAGAAAGGCUAAGGACCUCAUCAAGUCACACAACCAAGUGACAGAGUUGGGAUUUGAACCUCAUCCUCCCUACUCCAAAACUCCUGCACUUUAAUGACCUCCUGAUGCCAGAGUUGAGAGUAGUGAAGUACGAAAAUGUCCUGGUGGCAGGGGACCCUCUCCAUAGAAUGCUGUGUGGUUGUUUUAAUAUGAAGAGACAGGUUGCUUCCCCCGCUGUCCCCAGAGGGACCAUCAUUCCCGCAGUUGUAGCUACAACUGCCAAGUGCCCGGGCGCAGCCAAAGAGGGAAAAAAACCCAAACCAUCCAGACCCUGAGGGAGGGUCCUUCAUGGAAACUCGUCACAAGUGCCGGGAAAGUGGAGUCUUUUAUUGAAAGUGGGAAUACUCAAC